rnacentral:rRNA from 1 species
GACGAACGCUGGCGGCGUGCCUAACACAUGCAAGUUGAGCGACGAACCAGGGCUUGCCCUGGGGCAAAGCAGCGAACGGGUGAGUAACACGUGGGUAACCUACCCCGAUAACCGGGACAACCCGAGGAAACUCGGGCUAAUACCGGAUGUGCUCACUGGACUUCGGUUCAGUGCGUAAAGGAAGCUUCGGCCUCCGUAUCGGGAGGGGCCCGCGGCCCAUUAGUUUGUUGGUGAGGUAACGGCUCACCAAGACCGCGAUGGGUAGCUGGUCUGAGAGGACGAUCAGCCACACUGGGACUGAGACACGGCCCAGACUCCUACGGGAGGCAGCAGUGGGGAAUCUUGCGCAAUGCGCGAAAGCGUGACGCAGCAACGCCGCGUGGGGGAAGAAGGCCUUCGGGUUGUAAACCCCUUUCAGGGGGGACGAAGGUUCGGCGGUGAAUAGCCGUCCGGACUGACGGUACCUCCACAAGAAGCCCCGGCUAACUACGUG